AACAAACCUCUUGCUGCAUAUAUCAUUGCCAGCUCCUGAAAGCGAAGGUCAUAACAGAUGCCUAUACCAAUACGCCCAACAUCUGCAACAACAUCCAAUGGUUACAAAGGCCCAAGAAGGAAGGAGAGUUUCCUGAGAAACAGAUACGAGGCAAUGGAAAAGAUCAACAUCACAGGACCUAUGUUGACGUUGGAAGUAUCGAGGAGUAUCGAGGUAAUGACGAAAAAGUUGGGGAGCAUGGCAUUACUGCAAAGGGAGAAGUAGAUGUUUAAUGUCUUCCAUAUUGGUUCGACCUUACAUGAAUGAUGGAUUAUGUUUAUGGAUGUUAUUUUUAUGUUGGGAUGGGUCCCUUGUCAAGAUGUUUUGUCGUGUUUGACUUUAAACCAUGUAUCUUUUGGUAUGAUAUAACCGUUAUGGUAGGGUGAUGGUAAAACCCUAUAUACUGACUUAGUGUCUUCUUGUACAUAUGGUAGAGAUUGAGUCUCUUCCUAACUAGAACAGUUAUGUUUUUAUGAACGUAUGAUGGACUUUGAGAGUCUCUUACGGAUGAAUGUUUGAAUAGAAUGUCUAUCAGGUGUUCCUUU